AUUGAACGCUGGCGGCAGGCCUAACACAUGCAAGUCGAACGAGUGGCGGACGGGUGAGUAAUGUCUGGGAAACUGCCAGAGGGAGGGGGAUAACCACUGGAAACGGUAGCUCAUACCGCAUACCCUCGGAUGUGCCCAGAUUGGAGUAGCUAGUAGGUGGGGGAACGGCUCACCUCGGCGUCGAUCCCUAGCUGGUCUGAGAGGAUGACCAGCCACACUGGAACGGAGAUACGGUCCAUACUGCUACGGGAGGCAGCAGUGGGGAAUAUUGCACAAUGGGCGCAAGCCUGAUGCAGCCAGGCCGCGUGUAUGAAGAAGGCCUUCGGGUUGUAAAGUACUUUCAGCGAGUAGGCGUUACUCGCAGAAGAAGCACCGGCUAACUCCGUGCCAGCAGCCGCGGUAAUAC
rnacentral:rRNA from 1 species